UACGUAGGGGGCAAGCGUUGUCCGGAAUUAUUGGGCGUAAAGCGCGUGUAGGCGGCUCGAUAAGUCUGCUGUGAAAGUCCAGGGCUCAACCCUGGGAUGCCGGUGGAUACUGUCGAGCUCGAGUCCGGAAGAGGCGAGUGGAAUUCCUGGUGUAGCGGUGAAAUGCGCAGAUAUCAGGAGGAACACCAAUGGCGAAGGCAGCUCGCUGGGACGUGACUGACGCUGAGACGCGAAAGCUAGGGGAGCGAACGGG
rnacentral:rRNA from 1 species